CGGGACGUGGCGCAGCCAGGUUAGCGCACUGCAAUGGGGUUGCAGGGGUCGGCGGUUCAAAUCCGCCCGUCCCGA
rnacentral:tRNA from 4 species